rfam:Leucoagaricus sp. SymC.cos contig11393, whole genome shotgun sequence.
GGCAAGAUGGCCGAGCGGUUAAGGCGUGUGACUCAAGCGUAGCUUGCCUGCGAUCGCGGGUUUCUCAUCAUCGUAUGAUGGCGUGGGUUCAAGUCCCACUCUUGUCA